AAACCACAGGUUUAUACACAGUGAUCAUUCCCACCAUAAAUCUCAGUUAAAUUAGGGAAGGCACAAAUCUUAAGGAACAAACCAUGUGGUUACAUAGA